rnacentral:rRNA from 1 species
UGCGUCGGAACGUACCGAGUAAUGGGGGAUAACGCGGCGAAAGUCGCGCUAAUACCGCAUACGCCCUGAGGGGGAAAGCAGGGGAUCGCAAGACCUUGCGUUAUUCGAGCGGCCGACGUCUGAUUAGCUUGUUGGUGAGGUAAAGGCUCACCAAGGCGACGAUCAGUAGCGGGUCUGAGAGGAUGAUCAGCCACACUGGGACUGAGACACGGCCCAGACUCCUACGGGAGGCAGCAGUGGGGAAUUUUGGACAAUGGGGGCAACCCUGAUCCAGCCAUGCCGCGUGCGGGAAGAAGGCCUUCGGGUUGUAAACCGCUUUCGGACGGAAAGAAAUCGCAUGGACUAAUACUCUGUGUGGAUGACGGUACCGUAAGAAGAAGCACCGGCUAACUACGUG